rnacentral:rRNA from 1 species
AGUGAACGCUGGCGGUAGGCCUAACACAUGCAAGUCGAACGGCAGCACAGUAAGAGCUUGCUCUUACGGGUGGCGAGUGGCGGACGGGUGAGGAAUACAUCGGAAUCUACUUUUUCGUGGGGGAUAACGUAGGGAAACUUACGCUAAUACCGCAUACGACCUACGGGUGAAAGCAGGGGAUCUUCGGACCUUGCGCGAUUGAAUGAGCCGAUGUCGGAUUAGCUAGUUGGCGGGGUAAAGGCCCACCAAGGCGACGAUCCGUAGCUGGUCUGAGAGGAUGAUCAGCCACACUGGGACUGAGCCACGGUCCAGACUCCUACGGGAGGCAGCAGUGGGGAAUAUUGGACAAUGGGCGCAAGCCUGAUCCAGCCAUACCGCGUGGGUGAAGAAGGCCUUCGGGUUGUAAAGCCCUUUUGUUGGGAAAGAAAAGCAGCAGGUUAAUACCCCGCUGUUCUGACGGUACCCAAAGAAUAAGCACCGGCUAACUUCGUG